GACGAACGCUGGCGGCGUGCCUAACACAUGCAAGUCAAAGGGAAGCAACUUCGGUUGUAAGUACUUGGCGCAAGGGUGAGUAAUGUAUAGGUAAUCUGCCCUUUGGACUGGGAUAACCCCGAGAAAUCGGGGACAAUACCAGAUGACGCAGCGGGACCGCAUGGUACUGUUGUUAAAGAUUUAUCGCUUCGGGAGGGGCCUAUGGCCUAUCAGCUAGUUGGUAAGGUAAAGCUUACCAAGGCUACAACGGGUAGCGGGCGUAAGAGCGUGACCCGCCUCACUGGGACUGAGACACUGCCCAGACUCCUAC
rnacentral:rRNA from 1 species